UACGGAGGGUGCGAGCGUUAAUCGGAAUUACUGGGCGUAAAGCGCGCGUAGGUGGUUUCGUAAGUCGGAUGUGAAAGCCCAGGGCUUAACCUUGGAAUUGCAUUCGAUACUGCAGAACUAGAGUAUGGUAGAGGGAAGUGGAAUUUCCGGUGUAGCGGUGAAAUGCGUAGAUAUCGGAAGGAACACCAGUGGCGAAGGCGACUUCCUGGACCAAUACUGACACUGAGGUGCGAAAGCGUGGGGAGCAAACAGG
rnacentral:rRNA from 1 species